CGAACGCUGGGGGAACCUGUCACAAAAGCGGACCCCCGACCAGCGGGGCUGCCGGUCACUCUCACGUGCCCCCCGCCCCCCAGCCAGUCAAAGCCAAGGGAGGGAUGUUACUUGGUGUUCUAGUCAGGGACAGCCAGCCUGGAAAUGAGAUGUGGCCUUCAGGAACACCCCACGCACCCCAGCUGAGUGUCUCCGCCAGAUAAGAAAGCACCCAAGACACAGCAAAGAGACAUGUUCUGGGAGGUACUGCAGUGCUCCAAUGCAGAGAAAAGGGAACGCAAGAAGUGCUGGGAAGCCAAAUGGCAGGACAAAAAAGAGAAUCAGGAGUUUGUUAAGGACGCAACUGAGCAGAUGAUUAAAGUAAUGGAGGGGCAACUGCAGAUGCUGAAGUCCUUGAUAAUGCUGCAGACUGCAGCACAUUCUGAACACUUUUCUAUGCCCACCUCCCAACUCUGCCUGUACAUUCCUUUUCACUUUCCGGAACUUCUCGGUUUCCCAUUUACUUCACAC